UGAGCAACCUGCCCUUGACCCUGGAAUAACAGCUGGAAACAGCUGCUAAUACCGGAUAUGACCUCCGAUGGCAUCAUCUGGAGGUGGGAAGCUCCGACGGUCAAGGAUGGGCUCGCGGCCUAUCAGCUUGUUGGUGAGGUAACGGCUCACCAAGGCUUCGACGGGUAGCCGGCCUGAGAGGGCGACCGGCCACACUGGGACUGAGAUACCGGCCCAGACCUGUACGGG
rnacentral:rRNA from 1 species